GAGGGGCCCGCGCCUGAUUAGCUAGUUGGUGGGGUAACGGCUCACCAAGGCGACGAUCAGUAGCCGGCCUGAGAGGGCGGACGGCCACACUGGGACUGAGACACGGCCCAGACUCCUACGGGAGGCAGCAAUGGGGAAUUGUUCGCAAUGGGCGCAAGCCUGACGACGCAACGCCGCGUGGAGGACGAAGAUCUUCGGGUCGUAGACUCCUUUCGAUCGAGACGAAUGGCCUCCGGGUGAACAAUCCGGAGGAAUGACGGUACCGAGAGAAGAAGCCCCGGCUAACUCCGUGCCAGCAGCCGCGGUAAUACGGGGGGGGCAAGCGUUGUUCGGAAUUACUGGGCGUAAAGGGCUCGUAGGCGGCCAACUAAGUCAGACGUGAAAUCCCUCGGCUUAACCGGGGAACUGCGUCUGAUACUGGAUGGCUUGAGUUUGGGAGAGGGAUGCGGAAUUCCAGGUGUAGCGGUGAAAUGCGUAGAUAUCUGGAGGAACACCGGUGGCGAAGGCGGCAUCCUGGACCAACACUGACGCUGAGGAGCGAAAGCCAGGGGAGCAAACGGGAUUAGAUACCCCGGUAGUCCUGGCCCUAAACGAUGAAUGCUUGGUGU
rnacentral:rRNA from 1 species